GUUUGUCUGAAUUGACGCCAUUUUGAAAUCGUCGAAAAUCGUAUUAAAAAUUGCAAAAUUUCUCACUCGUUUGUCAAUAGAUCCGGCUCCGAAAAGGACGACCAAAUGUUUACGUCUGUUAGAACGGUCGUUAAAAGUCUGUAUAAUUGUCAAAUAACUCUUUAUUCUAUGAUUUCUAUCCCGAUUUAAAAAAUACAAAACACGCUGUCUUAAAAU